CAGAUCUCAGCUGAAGAGUUGAUUCAAUUAGAAAAGGACCAUGAUGGGAAGACAUACAGAGAUGACCAGCCACACUAGUGGAAGCCCAUGAACUGUAGACUAGUGGCUGUGGAGCCUCCAUGGGACCAUACUAGGCCCUCUGGAUACGGAAGAUGGUUGUUUGGCUUAAACAGAGAAGUCGGGAUUCUGGAGGGGAAGGCACGGGAAUUCAGAGAAGCCUCAGAAGUCAGUCAAAACACAGAAGGCAGAACUCAUCUGUUUAAAUGGUUAAUGGCUCAUUUGACAGUUCUCCCAGUGUGGGACAGUCUGACCUUUCAUUUUGGAGACUAUAUAAUUAUUAAGAUUUUUCUCCCAGGCAGCAACAAUCACCUCUUGUUCCAUUAAAUUAAAUUAAAAUUUUUUGUGUACUGA